CAUUAUUGUCUGCUGCGCAUCGUACGGACUAUAACUUCAAAUGCGACUGAACUACAUUGUAUGUCCGAUGUUUCAUAAUAUGAUAAAGAUCUACAGCUCUCCUUACAUAAUCUUUACUCUCAAACAUUAGACCUUUGGAAAAUUCAGUCAUCGAGGAGUCCCAAAACUGAUAGUAAGAGUUUAAUCUUCGACCAGCACUAACACAACCACCAUCAUCUAAAUUUAUAUCGUUAAAAAAUUAUGGAG
rnacentral:lncRNA from 1 species